GGCCGGAUGGUGGAAUCGGUAGACACAAGGGAUUUAAAAUCCCUCGGCGUUCGCGCUGUGUGGGUNNUGGGUUCAAGUCCCACUCCGGCUACCA
rnacentral:tRNA from 1 species